rnacentral:rRNA from 1 species
GACGAACGCUGGCGGCGUGCUUAACACAUGCAAGUCGAACGGAAAGGCCCCUUUGGGGGUACUCGAGUGGCGAACGGGUGAGUAACACGUGAGUAACCUGCCCUUGACUUCGGGAUAACUUCAGGAAACUGGGGCUAAUACCGGAUAGGAAUCCUUGCUGCAUGGUGGGGGUUGGAAAGCUUCGGCGGUUUUGGAUGGACUCGCGGCUUAUCAGCUUGUUGGUGGGGUAGUGGCUUACCAAGGCUUUGACGGGUAGCCGGCCUGAGAGGGCGACCGGCCACAUUGGGACUGAGAUACGGCCCAGACUCCUGCGGGGGGCAGCAGUGGGGAAUAUUGCACAAUGGGCGGAAGCCUGAUGCAGGAACGCCGCGUGCGGGAUGACGGCCUUCGGGUUGUAAACCGCUUUCAGCAGGGGCGAAGCUUGUGGUGACGGUACCUGAAGAAGAAGCACCGGCUAACUACGUGC